rnacentral:rRNA from 1 species
CAAAACCUGGUUGAUCCUGCCAGUAGUCAUAUGCUUGUCUCAAAGAUUAAGCCAUGCAUGUCUAAGUGUAAAUGAUUUUAUACUGUGAAACUGCGAAUGGCUCAUUAAAUCAGUUAUCGUUUAUUUGAUGGUCUCUUACUACUUGGAUAACCGUAGUAAUUCUAGAGCUAAUACAUGCACAAAAUCCCGACUUCU